rnacentral:rRNA from 1 species
CAAUAGCGUAUAUUUAAGUUGUUGCAGUUAAAAAGCUCGUAGUUGGAUUUCGGAUGGGAUUUGCCGGUCCGUCGUUACGAUGUGCACUGGCCAGUCCUAUCUUGUUGUCGGGGACUAGCUCCUUGGAUUCACUUCCUGGGACUAGGAGCUGACGAGGUUACUUUGAGUAAAUUAGAGUGUUCAAAGCAAGCCUACGCUCUGAAUACAUUAGCAUGGAAUAACACGAUAGGACUCUGGCUUAUCUUGUUGGUCUGUGAGACCAGAGUAAUGAUUAAGAGGGACAGUCGGGGACAUUCGUAUUUCAUUGUCAGAGGUGAAAUUCUUGGAUUUAUGCAAGACAAACAGCUGCGAAAGCGUCUGCCAAGGAUGUUUUCAUUAA